rnacentral:lncRNA from 1 species
CUUUUUUGAUACAGUUAAUGUCCAGGGGUCGGUAUUACGAAGCAUUCCUAAGACCUGUCAUACGAUAUAUCUUAGGACAUGUCUUAUGAUCCUCUUAUGACUAUCUAUGGACAUAUCUUUAUUUGAUGAAUUAUAAUUGUGAGUGUCCACUUUGGAGGCAAUAGUAAAAUACUUUCAUUCUAGUUGACACUAAAAGACAUAAGAGGAUACCCAG